AAGUUCCUCGUAUAUAUGUACAAGUAGGUUAAUGGAUUUCUAGAUGGGGUAUGGCAUGCAUUUUAAAUUUGAACAAGAGUUGUUGCCAACUUAUAUUCCUUUUAACAGUGGAAAUGGUUGCUUCUCCAUCUUGUCACCAGAACUGUAUUUUCAAACUGUUCGUUUGUUUGUUUGUUUUCAAACUUUUUUUUUUUUUUUUACCCUCACUUCCGGGUAAAUAAUUACAUCUCCUAGACAGGCAGUGUAAUAGAAAAAUGAGUGAAAGAAUCCCUCAAAGAAGAUAUCAAAAUGACCAACCAAAAGAAAGGUGUUCAUUUAACUUUAUCAGUCUUUAGGAAAAUGCCUAGUAAAAGCCGCAGUGUGAUCUACUUUACCACCAGAUAUUGGAGCACCCGGUAACUCUGCAAUACUAUAGAUGAGAAUGUAAAUUGGUACAAGCACUUUGGGAAAUAGUUUGGCAUUAUCUAGUAAGUUGAAGGCAUACCUACUCUGUUACCCAAACGUUCCACUCUUGAGUAGGUACACACUCGCAGCAGGAGGCAUGUACAAGAAGGUUCAUAGCAUCCUUGUUCAUAAUAGCUCUAAACUGGAAAAGACCCAUAGGUCCCUCAACAGUAAAAUGGGUAAAUUAAAUUCAUACAAAGGAAUUCUAUUCAGUACAGAGGGGCAAAAGAGAAUGUAUUGCAUUUAUCAACAUGGCUAUGUCUUAUUAGCAUAAUACGAGCAAAAAAAAAAAAAAUCCCAAGAAUGUAUACAGUACAAUUUCCUAAGUAUAAGGUUGAAAGCCAGGCGUAGUUUUGCCCUAAACAUUGUUUAGGGAUGCAUAUUUACGUGCUUGAUAAUGUAUUUUUUAAAAGAAGUAAAUACUGUAAUACAGUGUUUACCUGUAGGAUGGAGAAUAUAGAGUACCAUUUUGGGAUGUUGGCAGAGGUCUGUAUCUUGAAUGUUAUUAUUUUUUUUAAUGCUUAUUAUUUUGAGAGAGAGCAGAGGAGGGGCAGAGAGUGAGAAGGGAGAAUCCCAAGCAGGCUCUGCACUGUCAGCACAGAGCCUGAUGUGGGGCUCAAAUUCACAAACUGAGAUCAUGACCUGCGCCAAAACCAAGAGUCAGAUGCUUAACCUACUGAACCACCCAGGCGCUCCUACAAAUGUUAUCUUUAUGGGUGCAUAUUUUCUAAUUAUUCAUUGAAUUGUGUAAGUGUAGGAUUUCAUAGUUAAAAUAUGAUCACUGUUUUAACUUAUAUCUUGUAAAUUAAAGUUACGUCGAACAUCUUUUCAUUUAAUGCAUUCGUGUUUCAUUGUGUCAGUUCAUGUUUGUGCAGAUUUCCUUUUGCCGUAUUGAUCUUUUUCUUGUUCAUCCAUAAGAAAUCUUUACGAAAGAAAUCAGUAGUUUGUUAUGUGUGUUAUGCUUCCCCAAAAUUUGUCAUUUGCCUUUUAACUUUGUGUAGGUUUUGUUUGUUUUUUGGCCAGCAGAAACUUUGGAUUUUCUAACUUUUUGAAGCACAGGCUAAAUAGAUUUGAAAGUUGUGUCAGUUUAAAAACCAUCAGGCCAGACAGGACUUAGGUUCUUAAUUGCCUUGGGAUUGCUGCGCAUACAUAGGGACCUCUUUGCCCUUGUCUUUUGGAGUACUCUAUAAGACAUACUUGAAUAAAGAGUCCCAGUGUUAAAAGUUUGAAGCGUAAAAUCUGUUGGCUUAAAAAGUUAACCACCUUUGGGGUGCCUGUCUGGCUCAGUUGGUGGAGCAUGCAGUGGGGUUGACAGUCCAAGCUCCACAUUGGGUGUAAAGCUUACUUUAAAAAAUAAACAAAACCAUCUUUAAUUUACAGAUGAAGAGAUUGAGGCCCUGAGAAUGAGGAACUUGACAUUUGGAUAUCUAAUGCGUGCUGCCCACCUGCCACUUCCAUAGCUCUUAUCUGUACUUUGAAGUCUUUUAUAUCACAUUUUCUUUGGAGCUUAAUUAUCAUUGAUCUCUAAUUACUUGCAAAUGGACCUACAAGGCAUGAGAUAAUUUAGUCCAAAUCGUGUUGGAGGUUAGAGAUCAGAACGCAACUCUUAACACUCAGUUGCAUUUCGUAGUUGAAUUAUUGGAUGUGCUGGGAAAUUAUCUGUUCUCUCCAGAUAGAUGUAUUCUUUUUCUUAGCUGGUUUUGUGUGUAUAGUUUCUCCUGCU